GUAAGCACAGUGUUUGACGGUUCUAUUUGACUCUCAGAUAUGUAAUGCACCGCAGGAUGCAAAUGUACUUCUUAGCAUUAGCACCCAAAACAAUUUCAAUUUUUCAGAGUGUACUGUAAGCACAGUAUUUGACGGUUCUAUUUGACUCUCAGAUAUGAAGUGCACCGCAGGACGCAAAUGUACUAUUUAGCAUUAGCACCAAAAACAAUUUGAAUUUUUCAAAGUGCGCUGUAAGCACAAUAUUUGACGGUUCUAUUUGACUCUCAGAUAUGAAGUGCACCACAGGC